AGGAGGAACAACCCCAGUGGUUGCUGCAGCUCUGGAAACCUGGAUUCAGCUCCCGCAGGAACUAUUCUGUCUGCAGGGCCUGGAGGCUCCGGGGUGGG
rfam:Canis lupus familiaris chromosome 26, whole genome shotgun sequence.